UUGGAGGUAGUGACAAUAAAUCACAAUGCGGAACAAUGUUUUGCAAUUGGAUUGAGAACAACGUACAAACCUUAUCGAUAAACAAUUGGAGGGCAAGUCUGGUGCCAGCAGCCGCGGUAAUUCCAGCUCCAAUAGCGUAUAUUAACGUUGUUGCAGUUAAAAAGCUCGUAGUUGAAAUGAAGGGUAGUUGUGUAAUGAAUACAUUCGUGUAUUUUGUUAUUCUACUACCCUCCUUCUAAAUUCGAUAUAUGAGUAUUAAUUUACUUGUAUAUGGUUUUAGACGUUUACUGUGAGAAAAUUAGAGUGUUCAAAGCAGGCAUUUGCUUGAAUAUAUUAGCAUGGAAUAAUCAUGUAUGAUUUUCAUGAUGUAUUUGAUUGGUUUGGUUCAUGAGAAUAAGAUUAAAAGGGACAGUUGGGGGUAUUCAUAUUCAAUAGUCAGAGGUGAAAUUCUCGGAUUUAUGGAAGAUGAACAAGUGCGAAAGCAA
rnacentral:rRNA from 1 species